UCAAGAUGGCUGCUACCUACGUUGCGGUUAGCGGAAUACGUUGAUACACACCGAAAGCCGGGACUCCACAGAUCAUAAAGAUAUCUUAUUUGUCUGCCUGUGACCUACCGUUAUUGAUCACCAGCCCCGAGAAUAAAAAUGUUUAUUUUACACAACGCUUUCACCAAACAGCAAACAUCUUACAAGGUGAUGCGUGUGUUUCGAGCAGCAGUGUCUCUAAAUCUCAAUGGUCUUAUCAUCCCUUCUCCAUGUUGGACGGAACCGUUUCAACUCUUCAGAAGUCAAAACAUUAAAGCCUAAAGAUCCUCUGCUUGACGCAAUUGAGGGACGUGAAGUCUGAUUCUGUCCUCAACUUGUGGACCUGCUCUGAGGAUGUUGGACACCACUGUUGCACCUUCAGCCAUUAAUAUUUUCCUGUCAGUCGAUGGGCUGACUGACCUCAAGGCGCAGAAGGUGUUUUAAGGUAUAGAAGGAGGUCUGGUUAUCUAGUCUGGUGCAGUGGGUGUUCCAGGUCUGCAACACUUGACAAGAAAACUUCUUAAACAUGAUGGUCCUCUGCUUGCCAUACUAGAGGGACAUAAAGUCUGUUUCUGUUCUCAACUUGUGGACCUGCCCUGAGGAUGUUGGACACCACUGUUGCACUGUCACACCCUGGCUAUGGGACUCUAGUUGUUGAGCCAGGGUGUGUUUGUUCUAUGUGGU